CGUAGAUCUCCCACCCUUGUGUUCAUAACUAUCUGUUGCUUUGGCGGGCCGCGAGUUCGCUCGCUCUAGCGUCCGCCAGAGGACCAUCAAACUCUGAAUGUUAGUGUCGUCUGAGUACUAUAUAAUAGUUAAAACUUUCAACAACGGAUCUCUUGGUUCUGGCAUCGAUGAAGAACGCAGCGAAAUGCGAUAAGUAAUGUGAAUUGCAGAAUUCAGUGAAUCAUCGAAUCUUUGAACGCACAUUGCGCCCCUUGGUAUUCCGGGGGGCAUGCCUGUUCGAGCGUCAUUAUAACCAAUCCAGCUUGCUGGGUCUUGGGCUCCGCCUCCCUGGCGGGCCUUAAAAUCAGUGGCGGUGCUCUCAAGCUCUACGCGUAGUAAUUUCUCUCGCUACAGGGUCUUGUGGGAUGCUGGCCAACAACCCCCAAUUUUUCUAGG
rnacentral:misc_RNA from 1 species